CGAGAGGAAGGGAGACAAACGAGGGAGGGACGGAGUGUGGAGGAGUCGGCCGAGAGGAGACACGCUCGGAAGCGAGAUGGACACGAAGGUUUGAUAUCCGGCGGAAGUAAUCGAGUUCGGGGAACCGAUUGGAGGCGGUGGACCAGCAGCGUCUAUCCACGAGACCCACGAUCCCCGCAAAUCGAUGGAAAUUGCUUUACGAACGGUCAACUCCUCGUGUACCGAAACGUGCAAACGCUACACACGCGUGGGACAACAAUCAUCGCGAGUGAAACAUUGAAUAUGAAUUGAAUCUGUUCAAGACGGCGCCGUAGACGGCGUAUAUUGAAUUACUACCGUCUGAAACGUGUAAUUCAAUAUUUGUUCGGAAAAGCGACCGAUAUUGAUUAUAAAAAAUACCAUUAAAGCAUG